CCGGUGCCACCUCCGCUCGCGAGCCCGCGGCAGGCCCUGGGCGGUGCGCGCAGUCCCGCGAGAGCAGUGCUUGGUCGGGACCUCGAAGCCGGAGCCCGAGCGGGAGAGGCCGCGGAGACCCCGGCCCGGCGCAGGCAGAGACGCACCUGCGGGAGGCGGGCGCGCCGGCUGGAGAGGAGGCCGUGGGGCGGAGCGGCUCAGCGUUCUGCUCGGCUGCAGCGGCCCCUGCCGGAGACCCGGGCGCCGUGGUCUUCUUUAUAAUUGAAGGAUUGUCUCUCUGUUUUUAUUUGGGGUGGGGGUGGGGGUGGGGGGCGGCGCAGUGACUUGCUUCGACUUUGUCAGCUUCCAGGGUUCAUUCCACUGCCCAAAUAUGUAGUGAGUUACUACCGGCUUUGCUUCCUCCUUCAGCAAACGGCUGGACCACACAACUUCAGGAGAGAGGAUUUUAAAUGUUAGGGUCAUUUUCCCUAAAACGAUUUCAAAUGACGGUGAGUUGGUUCCCAGGCUAGGCCACCUAACCUCGAACGCAAUGACGAGUGCACUCUGACUGCUGAGCUGAGAGCCUUCCGUGGCUCUGGGACCCAGUGACUCACGUGGCUCCGCAUGUCCCCGUUCCCUUAAAAUCGGAGUCUUUCCUUUUCUUGGAUUCCGGCUUGCCACCAGCACCACUUGGCAGAAUGGAAUUGCUUGCGGGCAUGUCAGUGGACUAGAAAGGGAAGUAAGUGGUCUGAGAACUUGGGGGCCAAAAAUGUUACAUUAACAUUUUUUGCCUACCUAAAAUCUCAGCCACUUCCCACAGUUUGGCUGGAAAUUCAGCCCAUGUUGAGGCCCUUCUCAUUCCUGCAGGUGUUACCAGCAACUCAGAGGUUUAUGGAGUAACGAAAUUGGGGAGGGCCUCACAUCCGGCUGCUGUUUUUCCCCCUAACGUGUAUGGUGCUUAUUCUGAGCCAGACACUUUUAAGAACUGCACAUUAUUAACCAUUUUAAAUCGUCCCCACCACCUGAUGAAAUAGGUACUGUUAUCCCCACUUUAUGGGUGGGGAAACCGAGGCCCAGGGAGGUCAAGUAACUGCGCAAAGCACAAAACUGUUGAGUAGUAGUGUUACCAGGGCAGUCCUGGAGAAAUCGCUCAGAGGGCAAAACUGAGAGCUCAUUAUUUUCUUAAACAGUAGACAGCUGAAAAUGCUCAUUGUUUUUUAAACCGUUUUGUUUGUUUGAUUUUUUUUCCUAGUCUCUUUAUCUAUAGGUAACCCAGCUUAAAACAACUGCGGUUGGCCCGGGAUCCUCACUGCCCUUUGCCAAGUACCAGAGAAAGAUAAGGCCUACUAGGAACCAGAGAAAACCAGAACCAGCCACCCCUUGUUACUUUUAGAUCAUUAAUACAUCAUUAUAUGCUCAACUCCCGACCCGUAGAAGAGAAUCGCCGCCAUUUUCUGAUAGUGCAUUGUAUGAAGAGGCAUGUUUAUGAAAUGCACCUGUGCGUCUAGAGUUCCUCCCGGCAUAUGCUUGCAUACCUCCCCACUCCACAUCUAACGCCUUACAAUUCCCCAGCUUCCCAAAGCUCUGGAAGAAGGGGGUCUUUAGAGUGAAAGUUUACUCCUUCUCUAUUCCUGGCCAGGAAUGAAACCCGCUUGCCGUUUUUUCCAGUUGGUGUGCUUUCUUUGCAACUGAUACAGACUAGGAAAAGAACGCAAUUUACCAGUAACAGUAGAGCUGGGAUUUAAAUCUAAGUGCUUUGACUUCAAAGACAAGGUUCCAAGCUGCUACACAUACCAAUUCUCGUUAAAGUGUAUUCCAUUUCUUUUGUGCUUUCAUAUUGACCAUUGUGUGUUAAUCCUUUCAAUUGGAAGAAGAGGGAGACAGUGCCAGUUAUUGCAAACUUUCACAGUCCACAGGCCCGAUAUGUAGCCUUCACCACCCACAGGUUCUGCCACUUCUGGGGCAUUAUAUUCCAUCAAGAUCCAGGCACCCGCCAUCCACAUACCAGCCCUGGAACUCGUCCCUUCUCCCAGACUUGGAAACGCCACCUCUCCCUGACCAAUGUCGAGCCACUUCCUCAUCUUGAUACAUCAGCCACUAUCCUUUCCAUCUUUCAGGCAACUCCAGCUUAAUUUCUCGAUGGCCUUGCCCUUCUAAAAGGCCGUUCUCUUUUCCCAGAUGACUUUUUCCUAUCCCCUCCACAGUAACUCCCCUCAUCCUUCCAGUCUCAAUUCAAUUGUUCCUUGGUGGGGUGGGGCGGGGGGAGCCUUCUUAAACCCUCCUCCCUCACAACUGCAUGAGGUCCCUUGUCUCUAAUAUAAGCUCCUGUAGCACCAUGGCACUUAUCCCAGUUGAGAUUUUAAAUAUAUUUCUGUGUAUUUGAUUAAAGUUUCUCUCCUCCACCAGGCUGUGAAGGUGGCUUCUUGUUUUGUUUUGCUCCCCGUGGUAUUCCCAGCACCUCAGGAUCCCUUAUAGUAGAUGCUGAAUUAGUAAAUACAUAUUAAAUAAAUGAAUGAACAAUCUCACAGGAAAAGCAGCCUCAAACUCAGAGGAUAAUGGCUUGGGCUAUCUUUACUAAAAUUUAAGAGGCGAAUGACCUUUUCUUUCUGCUUAUGAGUCUGUCUGUAGCAGC
rnacentral:lncRNA from 1 species